rnacentral:lncRNA from 1 species
AUGAGGAAGCCUUCACACCACAGCUUUUCCUGUUCCAGAAAUCCUGAAGGUCGAUGCCCGGACAUCCAAUUAAUCCUCAGCCUUGGUUCCGUCGUAUUUCAGACACAGGCCUGGGUCGUUAGCUCCAAAGGCCGCAGGAGCCAAGACGCAUGCGCCUCUCUUGAAGCCAAGACAGUCUGUCUCGGCCGCAGAGCUUCCUUGUUAUGCUUCACGUGGGUGUCCUGCAUGGCCAGGAAGUUCUGGAGGAAAAAUUCCCCCAGGUUUGUUUACCGCUUUGAUGAAGCCCCAGCAUUUCACAAGCGCUCCACGAUGUGCCAGGCGUUUGGACUCAGCGACCAGCCAGGUGCAGACCACAUAGGACCAGCUGCCUGGCCGCAGCAAGAAGCUGUCUCUUGAGGUCAAGCCCCAGCAAAGAAGUUUUCUUGGACACGGUGAGCAGAGAGAGAUGUGGGAGCCCUGUGUUGGGGCAAGUGGGGACAGGCCAGCCUGCCCUGUUCCUAGUGACCAGGAAAGGCCUCCUGCACAGCUGCACCUUUGGGAGUGUCCUGGUGGACUGAUGGAGCCCCUGGCCAGAUGCCGAGCAUGCUGCUCAAGACAAGGAUCUGGAGGCGGACGUGGGGGCGCUGAACAAAGCAGGUGUUGAGUGAAUUCCCCAAGAAAGAGCGGUGGAAAGNNNNNNNNNNNNNNNNNNNNNNNNNNNNNNNNNNNNNNNNNNNNNNNNNNNNNNNNUUACAAAAGUAUAUUCAUGGUAGAACACCUGUUUAUGUUAAAAAAAGAAAGGAAGAAAGAAAGAAGACACCCAUAGUCCCAACCAAAAGAAAACCCCUCAACUCAUUCUGGUGUGGUUUUCCCCCAAUUUUCAAAUUUUUUCUAUGCACAGUUUACAUAUGAGUGGUCAGUUUAUAACCCACCAGUUUUUAACUUGCUUUUUUGCACUUACUGUAAGAUAAAAGUAUUUUCCCCAAUCACUAAAUUCUUCUAAUGGUGCAUAUCAUUCCACCUUUGGAACGUGGCACGGUGUAGGCUAGCCUGCUCUUGGACAUUUAGCUUUUUGACUGUUGGGAACAACACCAGAUUAGUGACCUUGUGUGUACAAAAUAGAGUCCACCUCACCUCUCACUCUGCAUUCAGGUGCUGUUAUUGUCAUUUUCUCUGGCUAGGUUCCCA